GACGAACGCUGGCGGCGUGCUUAAUACAUGCAAGUCGAGCGAGUGGCGGACGGGUGAGUAAUGUAUGGGGAUCUGCCCGAUGGAGGGGGAUAACUACUGGAAACGGUAGCUAAUACCGCAUACCAUUAGAUCAACCCAUAUGGGAUUAGCUUGUGGGUGGGGUAACGGCUCACCAAGGCGACGAUCCCUAGCUGGUGUGAGAGGAUGACCAGCCACACUGGGACUGAGACACGGCCCAGACUCCUACGGGAGGCAGCAGUGGGGAAUGUUGGACAAUGGGCGAAAGCCUGAUGCAGCCAUGCCGCGUGUAUGAUGAAGGCCUUAGGGUUGUAAAGUACUUUCGGUCGGGAAGCGUUACCGGCAGAAGAAGCACCGGCUAACUACGUGCCAGCAGCCGCGGUAAUAC
rnacentral:rRNA from 1 species